rnacentral:rRNA from 1 species
UACGUAGGGGGCAAGCGUUGUCCGGAAUCAUUGGGCGUAAAGCGCGCGUAGGCUGCCCGGUAAGUCCGUUGUGAAAGUCAAAGGCUCAACCUUUGAAUGCCGAUGGAUACUGCCGGGCUAGAGUCCGGAAGAGGCGAGUGGAAUUCCUGGUGUAGCGGUGGAAUGCGCAGAUAUCAGGAGGAACACCGAUAGCGAAGGCAGCUCGCUGGGACGGUACUGACGCUGAGGCGCGAAAGCGUGGGGAGCGAACAGG